rnacentral:rRNA from 1 species
UACGAGGGGAGCAAGCGUUGUUCGGAUUUACUGGGCGUAAAGGGCGCGUAGGCGGUCGUGACAAGUCACUUGUGAAAUCUCCGGGCUUAACUCGGAACGGUCAAGUGAUACUGUCGGACUAGAGUACAGAAGGGGCAACUGGAAUUCUCGGUGUAGCGGUGAAAUGCGUAGAUAUCGAGAGGAACACCGAUGGCGAAGGCAGCUUCUUGGUCCAUUACUGACGCUGAGGCACGAAAGCGUGGGGAGCAAACGGG